rnacentral:rRNA from 1 species
AGAAUCAACGCUGGCGGCGUGCCUAACACAUGCAAGUCGCACGAGAAAGUGGAGCAAUCCAUGAGUAAAGUGGCGCACGGGUGAGUAACACGUGACUAACCUACCUUCGAGUGUGGAAUAACUGAGAGAAAUCUUAGCUAAUACCGCAUAACACUUACGAGUCAAAGCAGCAAUGCGCUUGGAGAGGAGUUCGCGGCAGAUUAGUUAGUUGGCGGGGUAAUGGCCCACCAAGACGAUGAUCUGUA